AUCUGCUCACUGUUGCUCAGAAGGGGUGCCUCCACCAUUUGGUGGUAGAUCUCAACAGAGCCUUGGUUCACAUAUGGACCAAGGAGCUGAACACCAGAGGUGAGGGGGAGACUGACGGGCCCUGACCAAAUGUGGCAUCAGGAAGCUGUGGGGAAACCGAAGGCAGUUGGGUCCAAAAGGGCGAUGCUGUCCAUUCGCUGGAGUCUUUUCCUGAUUCUCAGUGAGGAAGAAUGUGGAAGCCAUAGAAAGGGUGCAGAGGAGAUUUACAAGGAUGUUGUCUGGAUUGGGGAGCAUGCCUUAUGAGAAUAGGUUGAGUGAACUCGGCCUUUUCUCCUCGGAGCGACGGAGGAUGAGAGGUGACCUGAUAGAGGUGGUGAUGAGAGGGCGUACAGGGGCAAGAUAUGCCAACCAGUGGAAUGAUGCUGCAGCAACAACCUGGCACUAAACGUCAGUGAGAUGAAAGAGCUGAUUGCGGACUUCAGGAAGGGUAAGACGAAGGAACACAUACCAAUCUUCAUAGAGGGAUCAGUAGUGGAGAGAGUGAGCAGCUCCUGGGUGUCAAGAUCUCUGAGGGUCUAACCUGGUCCCAACACAUUGAUGUAAGCAUAAGGAAGGUAAGACAGCGGCUAUACUUUAUUAGGAGUUUGAAACAAUUUGGUAUGUUAACAAAUACACUCAAAAACUUAUAACAUUGUACUAUGGAGACCAUUCUGACAGGCUGCAUUACUGUCUGGUAUGGAGGGGCUACUGCACAGGAUCAAAAGAAGCUGCAGAAGGUUAUAAAUCUAUUCAGCUCCAUCUUAGACACUAGCCUACAAAGUACCCAGGAUAUCUUCAGGGAGCGGUGUCUCAGAAAGGCAGCGUCCAUUAUUAAAGACUUCCAGCACCCAGGACAUGCCCUUUUCUCACUGUUACCAUCAGGUAGGAGGUACAGA